rnacentral:rRNA from 1 species
UACGUAGGGUGCAAGCGUUGUCCGGAAUUAUUGGGCGUAAAGAGCUCGUAGGCGGUUUGUCGCGUCUGCUGUGAAAACCCGAGGCUCAACCUCGGGCCUGCAGUGGGUACGGGCAGACUAGAGUGCGGUAGGGGAGAUUGGAAUUCCUGGUGUAGCGGUGGAAUGCGCAGAUAUCAGGAGGAACACCGAUGGCGAAGGCAGAUCUCUGGGCCGUAACUGACGCUGAGGAGCGAAAAGCGUGGGGAGCGAACAGG